rfam:Freshwater sediment metagenome lwMethenol_BCHA13976_y1, whole genome shotgun sequence.
UCCUGGGCGACCAGGGGUCCGGUAGAAGUCAUAGGUGCAACGCCGUAUCGAACGAGAGUGAAGCGCCGUAAGGCAUCUGGACCGGGUGAGUCAGCCCACGGUGAUGAAGCCCGAAAUCGGUUGGUGGUCCAGUGGUAGUGGCGACGAGAUGGCGUUGAAGUCUGCUGGU